ACGAAGAGACGGGGAAAACCAACAGUGCUGAAUCGCCAUUCCUUUCAACGCUUUCUCUACACGGACACUACGUUUUCUACCAAUAAAGUUUCAUUUCGUCAAAAAGAUUCAUUAUGUAACAGCAUUUCGAGUGCGUCUUAUCCUAAUUGCACGCAGGAUUUUGCUUGAGGAAAGUGUUGGAUACUUACAUCAUUGUAACCAAUCGACGAAAAUGAUACAUUGUCGGACAGCUAUGACGGUUUUCUUGUGUGUCUUGGUUGCAUCUUUAGCUUCGUGUGUACGUCAAGAACGGCUAGAGAUCUGCGGGAGUUGAAAUUCGCGUUGGGAAUCGCAGUUGCAGUUAGUCUUGCAAUUACGAAAUCGUGUAACUGGGUGUCUUUUCAGCUAUUUCGAAUUAUCUGACCCUCUUUUGGAGACCUCACGUUUCUGUUUCGUGACCAGAAGCAGCAACAUCAUCGAUUCGAUUUUGCAAGACCAUCAGCUUCUACCAUUUUUCAAAAGUCAAUCCUCGGAUUUUGGCCCCAAAUUCUAUCUGUUAUGGUUUUGGUGAACGAUUCGGUAUCGACCGGGGUGGGUGGAGCAAAUUUGGAAAAGGAUGAACGCACGAUGGCCUCGUCAAAUGCCUUUAGAGUUUUUCAACCAAUCGAAUGAGAGCUAACAUUUUAUGACAACUUUUCUGGAGACAAAGCAUACUGACAUGAAUUUACUGGAUCACUGCGAUACGCAAUUCUUCAAGUAAUAGAACUACUGUUUCAUUCUUGCUUUGCAUUCAAUUCUCUCAAACAACAAGAUUUGUUUUGCAAUCAAAGAAAAAAGCUUCGUCUGCUAAAUUAUCUUUAAUCUAAAGGCGUCUCCUACGUACAUUGACCCAAUUAACUGAAAUUUUGCGAGGAAAUUCUUUAUCUUACUCCCAUAAGCCCCUGAACCCCUUGGUGAUAACUGAAUCUCAUCUUUAACGAAAAUGAAUUCAAGGUUUCUUAAGACUCACCAUUUUUACAUUGAGGAUUAAAGAUACCCAUCAGAUAUUGGAGCUCGAUGUGAUGCCCAACAAGAUGGAAUGUACUUACAAUUGAUUGGUUAACUUGAUCUUCGGCCGAAACACGACACAAUUCAAGAGAAAUGGACACAUAACUUUGAGGAAUCACAGGGUAGUUAACUGACAAAAGCAAACGAUCCCCCUUACUGUUAUCGUCACGCAGGAUCAAAUUCGACUGCUCUAUCUGGCUUGAGAGGCAGACAAGCCAAGUGUGAUCCACCUGUCGGCCGAUCCUACAUUCAUUUGUGGCCUCGCCACAACACCUUAAUCGCAUAAAAUAAAUGUACACAAACACUUUCAUUUGCGCUUGCAGGUUGCUCUUUCUAUUUUGAUAUAGGCGGUGAGCCAGCCAAUGUAAACCGAUAAGCAAAACCAACAUCAAUGUACUGUAUGAUUGGCUUUCAUCGGUCUGCCGUUAUACAUAAAACAUUUGUUAACAAAGCCUCCAUGGUGGUAAAGUGAACGAAGUCGUCAGAUGUUUUACUUCUAUUACUGACUUAACCAAACCCUAGUACAAUUCUUCAUGCUGUUCACAAAAGCUCUGCGCAUGAAGCGACUGGGAAAUGACCUAUCGCACUGCACCAAAACAUUGGCGACAGAAGUUGGAAAGCCAUUGGGUCUAGAAGGAUCUUGCAGGUCGAUGCGAACGUUUGCGUGCUUUAUGAGUGUUCUUCGGUUCUCAGCACACGAAAAUGAAUCCCUUUUAAAAUCUGCUAUAAUAAUUUCACCGUCCCUGCGCUGCGCGCGGCUGCCACGGACAUCCACCAGCCUACUAAAUCUCGCACCGCAAUCCUCCACGGGAUCCUCUUCAAAGUUGAAUCCUUUUUGAAAAAAAAAAGAAAAGAGAAAGAUUUCCUUACGCUGGCUGCGGCAUUCUGGGGCGAGAACACAGAAAAUGACGAAGAAUACCAGAUAGUUGUUCAUCUUGAUAUUGCUGUCAAACGACUGGUGCUUCGAAAUUGCACCCCCCAGGCUUUUAAGCGACUUGUUUAGGCUUAUUUUAACUAGGUGUUUAGUUGGGGGAAAACAUUUUUCUCCCUCUCGUUUCAGAUUAUUCUGCUACAUUACAAUAUUUAUCAGGAUUGGUUGCGGUUAAUCAAAAUUCCGUUCUAGUGGGAACUAAACCGGAUUUGGGUUUCCCUCUCCGUUGUAUUCUGAUUUGCAUUGCUACAAGAUUAAACUGCGAUUACCGCUGGCGAAAUGAAAUUUCCCGCCAACAAUGUUCUCCGAUUUUUCAAAAAAAAACAAAUAAAAAAGACAAAUUAUCAAGAACUAAAUUCACAUCCUUUUUCCCACGCGCAGCAGCGAGUGGUAGGAUUAAAAUUUCUGGGUUAAUGAACAAAUUGCAAUUCAUUUACUUGUUGUCCAGUGAAUUCGUUUAUGCUUAGCCAAUCGAUAAUAUAGCAAUACAUUGAAUAAUUUUU